rnacentral:rRNA from 1 species
CAUGCGCUACCAGCAGUCGAGGGGUAUAGUUCUUCGGAGCUAGAGACCGGCGCACGGGUGCGUAACGCGUAUGCAAUCUACCUUUUACAGGGGGAUAGCCCAGAGAAAUUUGGAUUAAUACCCCAUAGUAUAGUGGUACCGCAUGGUACUACUAUUAAAGUCACAACGGUAAAAGAUGAGCAUGCGUCCCAUUAGCUAGUUGGUAAGGUAACGGCUUACCAAGGCUACGAUGGGUAGGGGUCCUGAGAGGGAGAUCCCCCACACUGGUACUGAGACACGGACCAGACUCCUACGGGAGGCAGCAGUGAGGAAUAUUGGACAAUGGGCGCAAGCCUGAUCCAGCCAUGCCGCGUGCAGGAUGACGGUCCUAUGGAUUGUAAACUGCUUUUGUACGAGAAGAAACACUCCUACGUGUAGGAGCUUGACGGUAUCGUAAGAAUAAGGAUCGGCUAACUCCGUGCCAGCAGCCGCGGUAAUACGGAGGAUCCAAGCGUUAUCCGGAAUCAUUGGGUUUAAAGGGUCCGUAGGCGGUCUUGUAAGUCAGUGGUGAAAGCCCAUCGCUCAACGGUGGAACGGCCAUUGAUACUGCAGGACUUGAAUUAUUAGGAAGUAACUAGAAUAUGUAGUGUAGCGGUGAAAUGCUUAGAGAUUACAUGGAAUACCAAUUGCGAAGGCAGGUUACUACUAAUGGAUUGACGCUGAUGGACGAAAGCGUGGGUAGCGAACAGGAUUAGAUACCCUGGUAGUCCACGCCGUAAACGAUGGAUACUAGCUGUUGGGAGCAAUUUCAGUGGCUAAGCGAAAGUGAUAAGUAUCCCACCUGGGGAGUACGAACGCAAGUUUGAAACUCAAAGGAAUUGACGGGGGCCCGCACAAGCGGUGGAGCAUGUGGUUAAUUCGAUGAUACGCGAGGACCUUACCAAGGCUAAAUGUAGUCUGACCGAUUUGGAAACGAUCUUUCGCAAGACAGAUUACAAG